UUAAAAAACGAAUCGAUUCAUUAGCGGAUGAUUUAGCAACUUAGUGUUAUCAAAAAUGAAUUUCCGAAACUGGUUUUGCCGGUUGGAUCUUUGACACGACACACACACCCGUAUUCCAUCUCGGACACUGCCCACGUUGACAAUUACCUCAGCGUUGACAGGUAUGUUAUAAAAGGGGUUUAUUUAUUCUUCUUUUCUCUCUUUUUGUUACAGCGAAUACCAUUAAACGAAGCACCUGCACAAGAGAGCGUCCGACAUAACUCAAGCCAUGGGCAAGCAAUCUGGCAAUUUCCACUAAAGCCUGUGGGAAGCCAAAAAGUGCGGAACAUUCCAGUGCCAUAAUAUUGAUGCGAACAAAAAAGCGCCGAUACAGCGCGAAGCCGUUUCCGUUUGGAAAAUGGAACGUUUCUCCACCACAUAAGCACCCCACCGUUUUGUAAUCUGUUCUUCUUUAUCCUCUUGAUUUUCCGACGGACGGUCGGCUGUGCGAAGCGACUGAAGAAAAUCAUCUGAUCGACGCGGAACCCCAAUACGCAACGGCCUGUGUAGCAAUAGCGUUGGUUGUAUUGGUGUUAGGCGGUUUUUACACACCUAGCGUCAUAGCAAUCUUUGUAUGUGUUCGUAUCCGGCAACGGUGCAACGUAUCCAGUGCGCAUGCACCAGACCACACCACCAUCAAGUGGGUACAGAAAAACCUUUGCAGCAACCAACGCACACGCACACACAUGCACUGUUCCG